rnacentral:rRNA from 1 species
GAUGAACGCUAGCGAUAGGCUUAACACAUGCGAGUCGAGGGGCAGCACAAGGUAGCUUGCUAUCUGGGUGGCGACCGGCGCACGGGUGCGUAACGCGUAUGCAACUUGCCCUAUACAGGAGGAUAACCCGUCGAAAGACGGACUAAUACUGCGUAUGCUCACAACUUGGCAUCAAGUGGUGAGGAAAGAAAUUCGGUAUAGGAUAGGCAUGCGUCCCAUUAGCUUGUUGGUGAGGUAACGGCUCACCAAGGCAACGAUGGGUAGGGGAACUGAGAGGUUUAUCCCCCACACUGGUACUGAGACACGGACCAGACUCCUACGGGAGGCAGCAGUGAGGAAUAUUGGUCAAUGGGCGCGAGCCUGAACCAGCCAAGUCGCGUGAAGGAUGACUGUCUUAUGGAUUGUAAACUUCUUUUAUACGGGAAUAACAAGAGUCACGUGUGACUCCCUGCAUGUACCGUAUGAAUAAGCAUCGGCUAACUCCGUG